CAAUAGCGUAUAUUAAAGUUGUUGCAGUUAAAAAGCUCGUAGUUGGAUUUCUGUUCUUGGGAUCUGGUCCGCCUCACGGUGAGCACUGGAUAACUGGGGACAUCCUCUCGAAGGCGGCAGGUGCACUUGAUUGUGUGUUUGUUGAAUUCGGGACCUUUACUUUGAAAAAAUUAGAGUGUUCAAAGCAGGCGUCGGCUUGAAUACAUUAGCAUGGAAUAAUGGAAUAGGACUUUGGUUCUAUUUUGUUGGUUUCUAGGACCGAAGUAAUGAUUAAUAGGGACAGUUGGGGGCAUUAGUAUUUAAUUGUCAGAGGUGAAAUUCUUAGAUUACCGAAAGACAAACUGCUGCGAAAGCGUCUGCCAAGGAUGUUUUCAUUGA
rnacentral:rRNA from 1 species